rnacentral:rRNA from 1 species
AGAGUUUGAUCAUGGCUCAGAAUCAACGCUGGCGGCGCGCCUAACACAUGCAAGUCGAACGAGAAAGCAGGAGCAAUCUUGUGAGUAAAGUGGCGUACGGGUGAGUAACACGUGGAUGAUCUACCCUCUUGUGGGGGAUAACUCUGGGAAACCGGAGCUAAUACCGCAUAAGCUCGAGAGAGGAAAGCAGCAAUGCGCAGGAGGAGGAGUCCGCGGCCGAUUAGCUAGUUGGUAGGGUAAAAGCCUACCAAGGCUGAGAUCGGUAGCCGGCCUGAGAGGGCACACGGCCACACUGGCACUGAAACACGGGCCAGACUCCUACGGGAGGCAGCAGUGGGGAAUCUUGCACAAUGGGGGCAACCCUGAUGCAGCGACGCCGCGUGAGCGAUGAAGCCCUUCGGGGUGUAAAGCUCUUUCGGCAGGGAAGAUUAUGACGGUACCUGCAGAAGCAGCUGCGGCUAACUACGUGCCAGCAGCCGCGGUAAUACGUAGGCAGCAAGCGUUGUUCGGAGUUACUGGGCGUAAAGGGUGUGUAGGCGGUUCUCUAAGUCUGGUGUGAAAUCUCCCGGCUCAACUGGGAGGGUGCGCCGGAAACUGGGGAGCUAGAGUACUGGAUGGGAGAGUGGAAUUCCUGGUGUAGCGGUGAAAUGCGUAGAUAUCAGGAGGAACACCUGUGGUGUAGACGGCUCUCUGGACAGUAACUGACGCUGAGACACGAAAGCGUGGGUAGCAAACAGGAUUAGAUACCCUAGUAGUCC